rnacentral:piRNA from 1 species
UGAUGCAGAUGUGGAUGUAGAAAAUCC